rnacentral:lncRNA from 1 species
UCAAAGAUCAGUUGAAGUAAUCUUCCGGUGUUCUUAUUUUACCAUUGGAGGAAGAGACUCGGUGUGGGGUGUUUCAAAUACCGGUUGAGGUAAUCUUCAGGUGUUUUUAUUUUUAUUCAUGCAGCCCAUUAUUUCUCAGUCUUAUUUUCCUAUUCUCUUUAUUUAAUAAAGUUGAUUGUUCUUAGUGGUAGCAAGUGAGAGAGGUCUUAUUUAUUUUAUUUAUUUCUUUUGAGUUGAUAUAAUGGUAAAGUACCAUUGUAAGUGUUCUAGUCGGUGUAAAAAAAAAAAACUACAAAAAUUUGCAUUGUACUAGAUCACCCUAGUUCUCCUAUCAGGAUAACUCACUCAAGUUGGGCUUACAAAAAGAUAUCGAGCCUUGAAUUAGGUUCACAAAAAGAUGUCAAGCCUUGAGCUGGGCUCACAAAAAGAUAUCGAGCCUUGGGUCCGACCCGUACACAUGCGCGGGGCACUUCUCACACAAAUGCGACAUGCGAGGGGCACUUCUCAUGCCUAUGCGAGCUUGUGAAGUGCAAAGUACAAAGUGCGUCAUCAAAGCGAUUGAUGUUCAGAGGUAGUAUAAAGCAAUCUCACAUGUCAAUUUCAACACUACUAAGGGUUAUUAUCGUGUUCUACAUCAUCAUCAUCAUAGUUUUUUUUCAACUAUUUGUUGUUGGCUACAGAAAUUCUGGUAUGUCAUUUUACUUUAUUAAUGAUCAUACUCUCAGUGAGGCCAUAAGUUCCUAUAUAUUCUCUUACUAUUUUUUAAUCAUGUCUUUUUUGACUUACUCCUUGUCAUUGUUUAGC